GAUGAACGCUUGCGGCGUGCCUAAUACAUGCCAGUCGAGCGAACAGACGAGGAGCUUGCUCCUCUGACGUUAGCGGCGGACGGGUGAGUAACACGUGGAUAACCUACCUAUAAGACUGGGAUAACUUCGGGAAACCGGAGCUAAUACCGGAUAAUAUAUUGAACCGCAUGGUUCAAUAGUGAAAGACGGUUUUGCUGUCACUUAUAGAUGGAUCCGCGCCGCAUUAGCUAGUUGGUAAGGUAACGGCUUACCAAGGCAACGAUGCGUAGCCGACCUGAGAGGGUGAUCGGCCACACUGGAACUGAGACACGGUCCAGACUCCUACGGGAGGCAGCAGUAGGGAAUCUUCCGCAAUGGGCGAAAGCCUGACGGAGCAACGCCGCGUGAGUGAUGAAGGUCUUCGGAUCGUAAAACUCUGUUAUUAGGGAAGAACAAAUGUGUAAGUAACUAUGCACGUCUUGACGGUACCUAAUCAGAAAGCCACGGCUAACUACGUG
rnacentral:rRNA from 1 species